GGCGGGUCCAGGCGGCUGGGACACUCCAUCUUUCACACAUACAGCCCACCUCCAGGGCCUGCCAUCCCGGAGGCAGCUGGAUGAAUCCACUUAAUCGAUUUCCUCUAAACCCACUCAAUCCCUGGCGGCAGCUCUCCUGGCGGCCUGACACUUUGCUGGCUGAGGUUUUCUGGGUGAAUCCUUGGUGCCCGCCCACCCACCCUGCUUGGUCAGACAGGCCCCUCCCAGCCUUGUGAUUCUAAACCCUCAGCUCAACGUUUUACAGAACUGCAUGAAAAGAGGCCUGCUGGCCUGUGUGCGAGGGGGAGUUUAUUGGGGUGGCCUCUUAACACUAAAGUCAAUGCAGGAAGGGAACAGAAUUGAUGUGCAUAAUGGGACUCAACUUGAAGCUCAGAAGCUGUGGCCCCAGAAGAAAUCAAAGCUGAGGCUGAGGGCUACAAGAGAGCAGGAUUGGGGCUUGACUAGUGGGUUCUCAGUGUGCCAUUUAAUUAAAAAAAAAAUCAGCCCCCUGGAUGAUACCAGCUUGCCCUUUAAGGCCAGAAUUGGCUGACCUGGCAACCCAGGCACCUGUCCAUCCCAGGAUGUGAUUUCCUGGAACAGAGGGCCUUCAUUAGGGCUGCUGCCCUCUCAGACACGGGCUGGACCGUGAGGGCCUCCCCUGCGGUGCACCUGCCCACCUGGGCACCCCCGGACCGUGUGGUCCCUGCAAGAGCAGGGCAUUCUUCACACUCAGCUCAGAGGGCCCCAGGGCAUAACGGAUGAAUGACACGUUUAUGGGGUCACAUGUGUGCCCCUCUGCAUGGGUGAGCAUGGCACAGAGCAGAGCCCUCCUCCCUCCCCUCCCCAUGUCCUCUCCCUUCCCAUCCUCUGCACCCCCCUGGUGGAGCGCUGGAGUGAGCAGGAGUUCUGAGCCCCCCUUCGGUUUGUUUAGCCAAUAAGCAAACUUCCUGAAGUCCUGAAGUCAUACAUAGCACGGUGGACGGGGAAAGGCAGAGGCUCUGGGGUCACACCCUACCCCACACCUCACAGCAAACCCCCACUCACUUCCAGCCUCUGCUGUCUUUUCUGGAGAGUGGGACACAGUCAGCCCCACCCUCGAGCUGGGGGCAUCCCGUGUACAUGACAACACUGGGCACAGAGUCAUUUCAGGGCCCCUGGAGCCUCCGGCUGGAAGCCAGGCUGAGGGCAGGUGGGACCAGUGGGGGCCACAGGGUCGCGGAUGUGACACAGUAGCUGUCUAAAGGACCAGGCUGAGGGUGUGCGUUCUAAUAUCCAGAAACAGGUAGCUGCCACUACCAAAUGUACGAGUUAAGGUCAUGUUUGCUCUCUCUUGUCAAUUAUAAUCAUCCGUUUGAAUAGAGGCCACCAGAGUUUUAUUAGCGACAUUAUUGGCUGUCGCAGAAUGGCUCUACUCCGUUCCUAAAGUGCCCGUACAAAACUGCGAUUUCCCCUCUGCUCCCGCACUCACUCUCAUGCUCAGCGUCUCCUAGGAGCUCCCCAUAGCCUAAGGCCUGCCCCACUCCAGGCCUAAACUGGAAAAUGAGGGCCUGCCCACCUUUCCCACCUGUGCUGUGUUCCCACGGUAAGGAACCAGCAGUAAUCCCGAGCACCCAAACUGUCCCCACACCUCUGCACCUCUGUGCCAUUCCUUCGGCUCUCCAUUCCCUGUGCUUUGAGCCCUCGGCUCCCUUAUCCACUUGUCCCUUAGAGCUGGAUGGUGUCAGAUGCUCACAUAGUAGCCUUUGUCCAGCCCGCCCUGCCUUCUUCCUGUGGAUGCUCCACUUGGAGGAAUCAGGGUUGGUCCAAGCCAGUCACGGCAACCACUUUUCCUGCAGCUGGUGACUGGCUGGGGAAGGGGCUCGGGACCCAGUUCUGGCCAAUGAGGUAUUAGAGGAAGUCUUUGGGGGCUUCUGUGAGAGAUUCUCCUUCCUGAGUAGAGGUGGGCAGGGUUCAAGAAGGUGCCCCCUUGCUUCCGACUUGAGUGCUAACUGUGCAGAUGUGACGGCCGGAGUGGAGGCAGCCACACGGCAACCGUGAACCAGUGACACCAAUAUUCUGUUAACGGUAGAACGGAGAGGCAGGCGGCACCUGGGUCACUGAUGACAUUGUGAGCCACCAGACCACCUCUGGACCUCCCAUCUCUCACAUCGUCAUUAAACAUUCAAUGUUAGAUGCCUUCAGAGUUUAAGCCACUCUUGGUAGGGUUUUCUGUCACUUCAGCCAAACACAUCCAACUGAUACAGCCUUCUAGUGUCGGUUAAAAUUUCUCUGUUCUUAACUAGUUCCCCAGCAGACUUGGAUCUCUGCCCCUGUCCCUGUACUCUACACCCAUGAGCUACAGUGCUCUGUCUGUCUGGUUGGCGCAUUCAUGUUUGGUCUGUGAACACCUCUGGGACAAGCCUCUGCCUUUUCCUCUCUGGCCAACCUGAGCCUGCACGCAGUGGGCCUUCGGGUCACCCCAGGGACCUCACCACACCCUCUCCUCCCCCAUCAUGGCCAGAGCCUCCAGCCAUCAUGAAGCCUUCCAGUUCACUUUGGCCCAAGCACUGCUUCCGGACCCCGAGGGCUUCGACAGCCUCUUCAGUGUAAAGCGUGAGGUCUUUUCUAAAUAGAGCUUUCCAGCUGUCACCUCUUGCCUCGUUUGUCCCUUCAAGUGCUAAGCUGUUGAUUUCUUGUCAGCUUGGCCUCUCCUGUGGCAGGCACGGGAGGCCACCGUGCACAGAAAGGAGUGCACGAGUGAGACAUGGAAAGUGCAGUGAUGGAUACAUCCCAUUCCAAACCGAGUGAGACUCUUGGCAUGUUCUGGAAAAGACCUCGGGUGUGCAGGUCGGGUGUCAGGUUCCCCAAGGCUCCAAGGAAAGAGAUGUCCCCAGGCAUGGUGGAGGGGUGAAGGCUCUUGGCCUCCCUUGUAGCAGCUCCCAAUGCCGGCUGUGAAUGGGGGACUGCCCUGUGGUCACAUGAGCAGGACUCUGCCAAGGAAAGCAAGGGAAAGAGAGGGAUUCUAGUCCUCAGGGAACUGGGAAGUUGUGUUAGUGCUGGGGAAAGAAGGUUCCUGCCUGCCUUCAGUGCACAUUGCUUUUUUGAGUCUUGUAACAGGCACAUGACAGUUACCAAGUCUCAGGCACCCACAGAAUGCCAGGCGUGGGGCCGGGUGCCCUGACACACGGACAGGCUGUACCAUGAGGCUUCUCAGGCUGCACACAGCAGAAUCCGGGUGUGCAAUCUGGGCUCCACACUUCCAAGCUAUAGCCCUGUCACCUCCUUUCUCUGAGCCUCCGCCACAUCCUCUAAAAUGGGGUCAUCAGUUGCUACCUUAACAGGGUCGGUCCUAUGAGGAUUAAUUUGGGUAAUGUGACUGGCCCAGCCUAUAGCAGGCCGCCAACAGAUACGGUUUGAAUCCAUUUGGCUCUCCAGGUUAGACUGUGGAGUUUUGCACUGUUAUCUCAAAGUCCCCCUUGAACCUAGCCUAAAUCCAUACUGUCACAAUUCCAGCAUGCUCCAUUUAGACAACUUCAAGGAGCAAUUGUAGUUGUUGUUGUUGUUGCUGUUGUUGUUGUUUUUUGAUAGCCACUGAGUGACAGAAAAACCAAAGCGGCCUAAACAAGCAAUCAAACGAGGCAGGAGAGAAUGAUUUACGUACCUAAGAAGGCUAAGGGCAGACAGUUUUAGGCAAGGCCGUACCUGGGUGCUUGAUGACAUCAGUAGCAAUCAUCUUUCCCGACCUCUUGGCCUUGCUUACUUUCCUCUGUGCUGGUGUCAUUCUCAGCUGGGCUUUUCCGUUAGGAAAGCAAGAUGGCCCCCAACAGUCACCUUCCGCCUCCCAACAGAAAAAGAACCCCUCAUUCCCUAUGAUUCCAGCCCUAAGGUCUGGACCCACUGGGACCUGACUGGCACAUACCCAGUGCUGAGCCAAUCACUGUGGCCAGGGAGGAUGGCCAGAUUGAGGUCGUGUGACCACCCUCCCUAAGGAAACUCCUGAGCCGUUCAACCUGAUUUCCAGGGUAGAAGUGAACCUGAGAGAACAGAGGAAAGACGUCAAAAUCAUAAGCACGGUGUGGAACUGGAUUACCACUCCCCCACAUUCGGUGCCCUGUAUAGAAGUGCCCUGCUCGGUUGGAGGAUUAUACAGCACGGCCCAU